UUUUGUUUCCAAAAUGGCGGCAGCGAUGGAUGUGGAUACCCUGAGCGGCACCAACAGCGGCGCGGGCAAGAAGCGCUUUGAAGUGAAAAAGUGGAAUGCAGUAGCCCUCUGGGCCUGGGAUAUUGUGGUUGAUAACUGUGCCAUCUGCAGGAACCACAUUAUGGAUCUUUGCAUAGAAUGUCAAGCUAACCAGGCGUCUGCUACUUCUGAAGAGUGCACUGUUGUAUGGGGAGUCUGUAACCAUGCUUUUCACUUCCACUGUAUCUCUCGCUGGCUCAAAACAUGGCAGGUGUGUCCGUUGGACAACAGAGAGUGGAAAUUCCAAAAGUAUGGGCACUAGAAAAAGAAUUCUUCCGUCGAGCCCAACUGUUCUGUUAUUCAUUUAAUGACUUGCCCUCCUGUUACUUAAUUAUAAAUUAGAUAGAACUGUGUCGUUUCUGCUUUGUCUUCUCAGUUUGCUAUUCCUGCAGCCAUAUUGUAUUCUGUGUCAAAUAAAAUCCAGUUGGAUUCUAGAACAGAUGCUGUCUCUUGUGUAUGUGAAAAAGUGAACAUAAAUAAAGGGUCCCCUCUUCCUAGGUUGGAAGGCUUCCUUUCAAAAGUGAGAUGUUUCUUCAUUAGAGCAGAGUUGUCCUGUGAGCACAUCGCUUGGUCAUAAGGAAUCCUGGUCCACAGCCUGAUCAUCGAUGGCAGUCUUGGGCAAGUCGACUCUCCGCUCCGCCCUUUCCCCAAAGAAUGGCUCCUAAGAACUAAAUGACAUUGUAUGUGCACAGAAAGCUUUGUAAACUGUAAAACCACUGUACGAAUGUUAACCUUGACCAUGUAUGACAUGUUGCUUUCUCUUCUUAGUUUAGAAAAAUAAACCUGAAAAAAU